CCUACGGGUGGCAGCAGUCGAGAAUCAUUCACAAUGGGGGAAACCCUGAUGGUGCGACGCCGCGUGGGGGAAUGAAGGUCUUCGGAUUGUAAACCCCUUUCAUGUGGGAGCAAAUUAAAAAGAUAGUACCACAAGAGGAAGAGACGGCUAACUCUGUGCCAGCAGCCGCGGUACUACAGAGGUCUCAAGCGUUGUUCGGAAUCACUGGGCGUAAAGCGUGCGUAGGCGGUUUCGUAAGUCGUGUGUGAAAGGCGCGGGCUCAACCCGCGGACGGCACAUGAUACUGCGAGACUAGAGUAAUGGAGGGGGAACCGGAAUUCUCGGUGUAGCAGUGAAAUGCGUAGAUAUCGAGAGGAACACUCGUGGCGAAGGCGGGUUCCUGGACAUUAACUGACGCUGAGGCACGAAGGCCAGGGGAGCGAAAGGGAUUAGAUACCCUUGUAGUC
rnacentral:rRNA from 1 species